rnacentral:rRNA from 1 species
GUGGGGAAUAUUGGACAAUGGGGGGAACCCUGAUCCAGCCAUGCCGCGUGUGUGAAGAAGGCCUUUUGGUUGUAAAGCACUUUAAGCGAGGAGGAGGCUACCGAGAUUAAUACUCUUGGAUAGUGGACGUUACUCGCAGAAUAAGCACCGGCUAACUCUGUGCCAGCAGCCGCGGUAAUACAGAGGGUGCAAGCGUUAAUCGGAUUUACUGGGCGUAAAGCGCGCGUAGGUGGCCAAUUAAGUCAAAUGUGAAAUCCCCGAGCGUAACUUGGGAAUUGCAUUCGAUACUGGUUGGCUAGAGUAUGGGAGAGGAUGGUAGAAUUCCAGGUGUAGCGGUGAAAUGCGUAGAGAUCUGGAGGAAUACCGAUGGCGAAGGCAGCCAUCUGGCCUAAUACUGACACUGAGGUGCGAAAGCAUGGGGAGCAAACAGGAUUAGAAACCCUGGUAGUCC